CAGUCGCCGCGGGAAUACGAAGGGGGCUAGCGUUGUUCGGAAUUACUGGGCGUAAAGCGCACGUAGGCGGAUACUUAAGUUAGGGGUGAAAUCCCAGGGCUCAACCCUGGAACUGCCUUUAAUACUGGGUAUCUAGAGUAUGGUAGAGGUGAGUGGAAUUCCGAGUGUAGAGGUGAAAUUCGUAGAUAUUCGGAGGAACACCAGUGGCGAAGGCGGCUCACUGGACCAUUACUGACGCUGAGGUGCGAAAGCGUGGGGAGCAAACAGGAUUAGAGACCCGCGUAGUCCCUGUCUCUUAUAC
rnacentral:rRNA from 1 species